GGGGCUGCAGCACUGACCCUGAACAGGGAUCGCCUCCCACCUCCACCCUGGGCCAGGCGUGCCCUUCUUCUCCUCCAGGGGCUCUGUGUUCCUGCUCCAGCGUGUCCCCCUGUGCUGCUGGGCCUCAACUGGCCAGGACUGAGAUGGGGAGACAGACCUCAGUUUCUGCGCGCUGAGCCUCAGGUAGGUGGGCGCCUCGUGUCACACGUUCCCCAAGCCCUCAGUGACUGGCAGCACGUAACAGAUGCACUACCAAGACAGAGCCCUGCUUUCCUGGAGCUCAUAAUUCAGUGAGUAAGGUAGGAUUAAACAAGCAAAUGUUUCAAUACAUAUUUUUAUUUAUUAUUUUUCAUAGUGGUAAAAUAUAUAUAAAUAUAUAUAAAAUGUUUGUAACCAUUUUUAAGUAUACAGUUCAGUGACA
rnacentral:lncRNA from 1 species